CCUACGGGAGGCAGCAGUAGGGAAUCUUGCACAAUGGGCGCAAGCCUGAUGCAGCGAUGCCGCGUGAGGGAUGAAGGCCUUCGGGUUGUAAACCUCUUUCGCUAGGGAAGAAGCCACGGGUCACCGUGGUGACGGUACCUAGAGAAGAAGCCCCGGCUAACUACGUGCCAGCAGCCGCGGUAAAACGUAGGGGGCAAGCGUUGCCCGGAUUCACUGGGCGUAAAGCGGGUGUAGGCGGUUCUCUAAGUCGGAUGUGAAAUCCAGCGGCUCAACCGCUGAAUUGCAUCCGAUACUGGGGAACUUGAGGACGGUAGAGGUUGGUGGAAUUCCCGGUGUACCGGUGAAAUGGGCAGAUAUCGGGAGGAACACCAGUGGCGAAGGCGGCCAACUGGGCCGAUCCUGACGCUGAGACCCGAAAGCCAGGGUAGCGAACCGGAUUA
rnacentral:rRNA from 1 species